rnacentral:rRNA from 1 species
AACGUAGGAGGCGAGCGUUAUCCGGAUUUACUGGGCGUAAAGCGCGUGCAGGCGGCCCGGAAAGUUGGCUGUGAAAGCCCCCGGCUCAACUGGGGGAGGUCGGUCAAGACUUCCGGGCUCGAGGGUGGUAGAGGGAGGUGGAAUUCCGGGUGUAGUGGUGAAAUGCGUAGAUAUCCGGAGGAACACCAGUGGCGAAAGCGGCCUCCUGGACCACUUCUGACGCUCAGACGCGAAAGCGUGGGGAGCAAACAGG